CCUGCAGGUUCUUAGGGCGACCGGGUUGCUGCUGCUGCUACUUGGUGCGGGACGCGGGUAAGAAUCAGCUCCGGGCAUGGGGGUGCUCCUGGCCGAGGUAGGUGCUGCAGCUGUUGGAUCGAGGCCCCAUGGGGCGGCUCGGCUGCUCCUGCAGCUAGGCUCGGUCACCUUGCCGCUGCGGCUCGAACACAGCCGGGAGGCCGCGGCUCCGGUUCCUCAGGCUGCUCGGGAGGGAAGCAGGGAGGAACGCAUGCAAGAGGAGCAGGCUGAGGCGAGGUGCGGGGCUGGCUGGGAACCGAUCAAGGAGGGAAGAGGGGAUUGGCUCUGGUUUGGCUCGGCAUGGAUCUGGUGCGUGAUCGGUAGGUGGAGGAAAACAAGGUAGGAGACCAGGUGGUGUGCGGCGGCGGCGCUGAUGGGACAGGGGGGAGAAUUUCUAGGGUUCUGG
rnacentral:lncRNA from 1 species